rnacentral:rRNA from 1 species
CCUACGGGUGGCAGCAGUGAGGAAUAUUGGUCAAUGGGCGCGAGCCUGAACCAGCCAAGUCGCGUGAAUGAUGACUGCCCUACGGGUUGUAAACUUCUUUUAUAAAGAAAUAAAGUGAGGCACGUGUGCCUUUUUGUCUGUACUUUAUGCAUAAGGAUCGGCUAACUCCGAGUCAGCAGCCGCGGUAAUACGGAGGAUCCGAGCGUUAUCCGGAUUUAUUGGGUUUAAAGGGAGCGUAGAUGGGUUGUUAAGUCAGUAGUGAAAGUUUGCGGCUCAACCUUAAAAUUGCAAUUGAUACUGGUAGACUUGAGUGCAGUAGGGGAAGGCGGAAUUCGUGGUGUAGCGGUGAAAUGCGGAGAUAUAACGAAGAACUCCGAUUGCGAAGGCAGCUUACUAAACUGCAACUGACAUUGAUGCUCGAAAGUGUGGGGAUCAAACAGGAUUAGAUACCCCUGUAGUC